UACAGAGGUCUCAAGCGUUAUCCGGAUUUACUGGGCGUAAAGAGCGCGUAGGCGGUUCCGUAAGUUGGUUGUGAAAGUUCGAGGCUCAACCUCGAAACUGCGUCCAAUACUGCGGGGCUGGAGUGCAAGAGAGGCAAGUGGAAUUUGCGGUGUAGUAGUGAAAUGCGUAGAUAUCGCAAGGAACACCAGUGGCGAAGGCGGCUUGCUAGCUUGUAACUGACGCUGAGGCGCGAAAGCUAGGGGAGCGAACGGG
rnacentral:rRNA from 1 species